rnacentral:rRNA from 1 species
GUCCACGCCCUAAACGAUGUCAACUAGUUGUCGGGUCUUAAUUGACUUGGUAACGCAGCUAACGCGUGAAGUUGACCGCCUGGGGAGUACGGUCGCAAGAUUAAAACUCAAAGGAAUUGACGGGGACCCGCACAAGCGGUGGAUGAUGUGGAUUAAUUCGAUGCAACGCGAAAAACCUUACCUACCCUUGACAUGUACGGAACGCCGAAGAGAUUUGGCGGUGCUCGCAAGAGAACCGUAACACAGGUGCUGCAUGGCUGUCGU